UACGUAGGUGACCAGCGUUGUCCGGAUUUACUGGGCGUAAAGAGCGCGCAGGCGGUCGUUCAAGUCGAGUGUGAAAGCCCCCGGCUCAACUGGGGAGGGUCAUUCGAUACUGAUCGACUGGAAGGCAGGAGAGGGAAGCGGAAUUCCCGGUGUAGUGGUGAAAUGCGUAGAUAUCGGGAGGAACGCCGGUGGCGAAAGCGGCCACCUGGGUCUGACCUGACGCUGAGGUGCGAAAGCGUGGGGAGCAAACCGG
rnacentral:rRNA from 1 species